GGCCCACGCGGGCGGACAGGAGAGGCGGGCGCUGCAGCUCGGAGAGCGGGCGGGGGCGGAGCGCGGGGCGGAGCCGGAGCCGGCGCGCAAACACCCAGGGUCCAGCGGGCCCGGCUCUGGCCCCGGAAGGCGCGGCUGCACGGUGCACACUAGCAGGAAGGAAGUGGGACAGAGUCGGACCCUCAAUAAAGACAGACAGACGGGCGCUGCCGGCUGUUCUUGGCAUUCGCGGGUGUCGGUGCCCGCGCGUGGGGACGCGGUAGCCACGAGGCGUGCGGGCGGCUCGCGCGGGCACCAAGCCUUGAGGACAGGAAGCAGCGACGCCGGUAGCGUUUCCAUUCCUCCCCGCCUUUGUUUGCCUUCAGACUGAAAGUGGACUGCAGCCCAGCUGUGGGAGAGUUAACACAAGAAAACUCACUGCAGGCUGAGCGUCCUAGUCCGAAAAUCCCCAGUCCGGAAUGUCCAGCGUCGAGGCCCGCUGAGCGCUGACCGGUGCCUCCCACGGGAAAUCCACACCUGCCUCCCUUGCAGGGGCCGCAGAUGUCACCGCCCCGGAAGCGGCGGCACGGUUUCUCCCGCUGCGCACACGGGGCACGCGGCGCGGGCUAGAGUUUGAAGGGGCUGAGAAGUGGGGAGAGAAAGAAGUCCGUCGUCUUGUCCAGUGGCGACAAGACCUGACAUGGCCCUUGUCCCGUCUGUGGUGUCACCUCAGUGCUGAGUUUGCUGACACCUCCCUGUCAGAGGGGACACACCUUCCACACGCCUGUGCUGGCGCUCCACACCUAGACGUGGGUCACGUGGGUGUCAUGGUUCAGUAGCUAACACUCACUCUAAAGUCAGUCAUGUUUGAGCAGAGGAGAAAGAAACAUGGAAACAAUGCUACAGCUCAUGUAUAGACUUGGACACAACAGCAGGUGCAUGGAAGGAAUUAAAAAUGUUUUUAAGGACCAGGAAUCAGCCAACCAAACGUGGACGUUGCUUCUUGUAAGAGUAUCUAAGGCACUGAGUAAGCAAGCAAAGAAAAGUAGAGGGAAGGAAAGACCUAGAGGGGAUAUAACAAACGGAAAUGCUGUAAUCCUGAGACACGAAGUCCUCUUUUCUGGUCCUGCCUCGUCUGCGCCCUUACCCACCUGGGAAUCCCAAACAGUUUUAAAGGUUUAAUUUUGUGGCUUUGUAGAGUAAACUAGAGCCUUAAUUUUAAAUGCUAAAAUACCUUACUGGAAGGCCUCUGCUAGCUAGACACACAAGGAAUUCGACUUUUCUAGAUGCUUUCUCUCUACAUAACGCUGUCAACACCCAGAGCAGCUGACCAUUCUUCCUGUACAUGAGGUGUCAGUUUCAUCCAUCUGCUUCCUGCCGAAUUACCGACACCAUUGCAAAAGUUUUAGUUCUCUGGUCACUGACUGUGUACUCUGGCAAAGGUUCCAAGGUUAGGCUUUCUCAUAAGUAAUCCCAAAACUCCUUUGUGCUUUCAUCAGGCACCUGGAUUCAGUGCCAGAUGAGGUCAGAUGUUCAUCAGCAGGUUUGACAAGCUCUGUGACUCGAGGACCUGGGCUUUAAAGCCUUAUAAAAAUGGUUCGUCUUUUUCUCUUCACAGUGAUUACUGCAGGCAGCCCCUCCCUCCUGUUUCUGUCCCCUUCCUGGCCCCCUGCUCCUCCCUGUGGCAGAGGUGAACUCCAGUUAUUUAAAUGCAGACAAGACCACAGGGGGAAACAGGAUGAUAUGAGUAUUCUACGACUUGAGGAAAUAUUUCAGCGUGCACGAGGCCUCACCCUCUGUACCCACGUCUGCGGCAAAUGUUUACUUGAAGGCUGACACUCACUUUUAUCUCGAAGAACACGAAAAAUACUUGCAGACCAGCAAACCUGACUCUGAAAAUAGUUCAUUCCGGAAGGACCUCUUGAAAUACAGAGUUUCUCAUAAGCAGCCUGGUUUCAGGGGAAUCUGAAAGAAGGCAGAUCCUGUCCUGAAGCGUCAGAACAGGGUUGUGCAAUCCAUGUCCCAGACUUGCACUGCAGCAGCUCUGCAGGCAGGGCAGGGGUGCGCCCUCAGGAGCUGCCUGUGCGGGGAAUUCUGGGAGAAAUGCAACUCCAGCAAGGGCCCUGCUCAGAAUGAAAGCGCAAGGACGUGGCCUCGCAUGGACUGCUUCUCCGUGGAGAGUCCCUUGAGAGAGCUCGCGGUGUUGACCUUUACUCCAGGGGAAACGGAUUUCAUCAGUAGCCAUUUGAUAAGUUUCGGUAAAGCUUUUCAUAAGCUCUCUAGAAACACAGUGAAUGACUCUAACAACUGAGUAACAAAGCCUUUGCCAAGAUGGAUGGUUUCCAACUCUACUUCCAGCAAAACAGAAGGAAAGAAUCAAGUGGAGACAGCUGGGUGACACAGAAAUGGCUUUUGAGAGAUCGCUGUGCAGUUCUCAAUGCAGGACCUGAGAAUAAGCUCAAAUAACUACACGGAAGCUCUGUUUGGUUCUAUUUAUAUCUAACCGCCAGUUCCUCUCUUCUCUGUAUGCAUUUUGUGGAAUACUGUUUUUCUCUAACUAUAAAUAACAUUCAUCCGCGAACUAAUUUUUUUAAUUUUGUACCAGGGAUGGAACUUGGGUCCUUGUGCUUGCGCAGCAGGGGCGAAAACCACUGAGCUAAAUCCCUGGCUGAACUAAUUUUUUAAAACUUCUUAAAUCUUAUUGAAAAAUGCAUUUAUAAUAGUUUUAUUCUUUUUCAUAUUCAUCAAAUAUAUUUUUUUCUUUUUUUCUUU
ensembl:lncRNA